GACGAACGCUGGCGGCGCGCCUAACACAUGCAAGUCGAACGGAGUCAAGAGGAGCUUGCUUUUCUUGACUUAGUGGCGAACGGGUGAGUAACGCGUGAGUAACCUGCCCUGGAGUGGGGGACAACAGUUGGAAACGACUGCUAAUACCGCAUAAGCCCACGGAUCUGCAUGGAUCUGCGGGAAAAGGAUUUAUUCGCUCUAGGAUGGACUCGCGUCCAAUUAGCUAGGUGGUGAGGUAACGGCCCACCAAGGCGACGAGUGGUAGCCGGACUGAGAGGUUGAGCGGCCACAUUGGGGCUGAGACACGGCCCAGACUCCUACGGGAGGCAGCAGUGGGGGAUAUUGCACAAUGGGGGAAACCCUGAUGCAGCGACGCCGCGUGGAGGAAGAAGGUUUUCGGAUUGUAAACUCCUGUCGUUAGGGACGAUAAUGACGGUACCUAACAAGAAAGCACCAGCUAACUACGUG
rnacentral:rRNA from 1 species